rnacentral:lncRNA from 1 species
UGGAAUCGGCUCCAAUGACGCCAGUCUGGAAACUGUUGCUGUCGUCGCGUGCGGGUUGACGCGCAGCGGUGCGUUUCUUGGGCGCGUUUGGGGAUGUGAGUGAAUGACCCGCGUCCAGAUCAGCGGAACGCGUGCAGGUGUGUGUGUGUGUGUGUGUGACGGACAUCAUCAUGCUCAAAGGCUCUCAGUGAUCCGCUCCUUCCCAUGAUUCCACACCAGGCCGCCCCAUGCCAGCCCGUAACCACGAUGACUGCUCGCCCCCGUGAGCUCCUCCUCUGUCGCCCGGCGGCCGUUUGACUGGAUGAGGAACCCAGCCUCCAGUGAUGUGAUGCACAGGUUUGAGGUUCUUGGGAUUGUGGGGGAAGGAGCUUACGGUGUCGUCCUGAAGUGCAGACACAAGGUAAGAGCUCAGACACACAAGUUCAUGUCGUUUUUAAACCCACAAAGCACUAGU